AGCAGCUGCGGGCGGGCGGGACGGGCACAGGCCCGGGGCGGCUGCGGAGGAAGCGAGGCGGGGCCGCCCGCGGUGCACGCUCCCAGGGAGCGGCUGGGCCUGCCUCCCGCAAGCCCCGGGCCAGGUGCACUACAGGAAACUGCUCCCUGGAGCAAUGGGCUACUUCGGGUGGACUGAGCAUGCGCACAUGACCUGAGCAUGCUCCGUAAGAUCUGCUGAAGCCACUGCCCUUCACUCUGCCCUUAUUCGCGCAAAAGCAUCACACAGACCUAAUCACAUCAGCCACACUAUCAGAGGCUCGUUACCUGCACAUCUACCAAUGUGAUAUAUGCCAUCAUGUGCCAGCAAUGCCCCCUGCCAUGUACAUUGGUCACACUGGACAGUCUCUACGUAAAAGAAUAAAUGGACACAAAUCAGAUGUCAAGAAUUAUAACAUUCAAAAACCAAUUGGAGAACACUUCAAUCUCUUUGGUCACUCUAAUCGAUUACAGACCUAAAAGCGGCAAUUCUUCAACAAAAAAACUUAAAAAAAACCAAA